GCCUAAUACAUGCAAGUCGAGCGAAUCUUAAGGUGCUUGCACCUUUUGGUUAGCGGCGGACGGGUGAGUAACACGUGGGCAACCUGCCUGUAAGACUGGGAUAACUUCGGGAAACCGGAGCUAAUACCGGAUAAUCCUUUUCCUCUCAUGAGGAAAAGUUGAAAGUCGGUUUACGCUGACACUUACAGAUGGGCCCGCGGCGCAUUAGCUAGUUGGUGAGGUAACGGCUCACCAAGGCGACGAUGCGUAGCCGACCUGAGAGGGUGAUCGGCCACACUGGGACUGAGACACGGCCCAGACUCCUACGGGAGGCAGCAGUAGGGAAUCUUCCGCAAUGGACGAAAGUCUGACGGAGCAACGCCGCGUGAGCGAUGAAGGCCUUCGGGUCGUAAAGCUCUGUUGUUAGGGAAGAACAAGUACCGGAGUAACUGCCGGUACCUUGACGGUACCUAACCAGAAAGCCACGGCUAACUACGUGCCAGCAGCCGCGGUAAUACGUAGGUGGCAAGCGUUGUCCGGAAUUAUUGGGCGUAAAGCGCGCGCAGGCGGUCCUUUAAGUCUGAUGUGAAAGCCCACGGCUCAACCGUGGAGGGUCAUUGGAAACUGGGGGACUUGAGUACAGAAGAGGAAAGCGGAAUUCCACGUGUAGCGGUGAAAUGCGUAGAGAUGUGGAGGAACACCAGUGGCGAAGGCGGCUUUCUGGUCUGUAACUGACGCUGAGGCGCGAAAGCGUGGGGAGCAAACAGGAUUAGAUACCCUGGUAGUCCACGCCGUAAACGAUGAGUGCUAAGUGUUAGAGGGUUUCCCGCCCUUUAGUGCUGCAGCUAACGCAUUAAGCACUCCGCC
rnacentral:rRNA from 1 species